UUGUGUUCUUAAUAAAUACAUUUGUAUCUUGGUACUCAACAUAAACUAAUAUGUAACAUUAUAAUAUGGUGUGUGUAACCUUGGCUGUAGCUAGAACAUAAGGGUGGCUAAGUAGACAUAGCUGGGAGAUUAGAGUAACAGUCGGAAGUUAAUGGUGGCAAGACAGAGAAUAUUAGAAUCGAAGAUAGAUUAAUGCGAAAGGAGUGCAGCAUGCAAGAUAAGGUAGAAAAGAUAUGACUGAAAAACUGUAAUAAAAAGCAGCCUUUUUCUGAAAUCAGAGAGCAAUUAGAGAACGGACAGGUGGUGUCAUCUCUGAAUGUUCCAGCAGAUGUUUGCAAAUAAAGGCUUUUGUCAUCUUGAA